CGAACGACGCUGGCGGCGUGCCUAACACAUGCAAGUCGAGCGACGAAAGUCCCUUCGGGGGCGAGUAGAGCGGCGGACGGGUGAGUAAUACAUGGAUAAUCUGCCCUCGAGAUCGGGAUAACCCUGCGAAAGUGGGGCUAAUACCGAAUAAGACCACACAACACAAGUUGUGUGGUAAAAGGUGGCUUGAAUUUAUUCUGGCUAUCACUUGAGGAUGAGUCCAUGGCCUAUCAGCUUGUUGGUGGGGUAAUGGCCUACCAAGGCUAUGACAGGUAGCUGGUCUGAGAGGACGACCAGCCACACUGGGACUGAGACACGGCCCAGACUCCUACGGGAGGCAGCAGUGGGGAAUAUUGGGCAAUGGGCGAAAGCCUGACCCAGCGACGCCGCGUGGGUGAUGAAGGCCUUCGGGUUGUAAAGCCCUUUCGUGCGGAAAGAACAGUCCUGUGGCGAAUACUCGCAGGAUUUGACGGUACCGCAGGAAGAAGCACCGGCUAACUCCGUG
rnacentral:rRNA from 1 species